AUGACGGAGCCAGUCGACUCAGGUGGAGCAUCUGCGUCCUCCCUAAAUGAGGCUCUUAACUGCACAUCUCCAUCUUCCUGUGCGUUUGAUGGCGGCACCAGGCUGAAACAAUUCUGUCCCGCUCGCCGUCGGCCCUGCAGCAGCUCUGUGCUGCCACCAGCAGUUAGACAACAGUUCAAAGAUGCAUGCGGCGAUCACUUCCCGCCCUGGAGUUUUCACUGAAAAGCCAUCAUGAGUUUUCCAGCUAUCAGCAGCAGCCGCUGGUGGUCUCUAAGUUAUUCAUAUAAGCCGGUGGAGGCCCUGCGCUAUGCCUACUGUUGCUGCCUAUGUUUUGAAAAUGCAACAAAGCAAUAGAGAUGCAUUUAUUUUUUCUUGUAAUGCCUUAGUAGGGUGUGUUUGAGUGCGUGUGUUUGAACGCACCCCAGUGCCGACAUUUAGACGCCGCCUUCUAAUUGAUUUGUGCACAGAUAGGGUGUUUAUCAGGCUCUGUUCUCCUGUUGGCGCUCCGUAUGUUUUCAGUGAUUGCAUCAAUACCCACCCCUGUCCUCGCUGUGCUCCGGAGCCAUCAACACUCUCAGUGGGGAUACAAAGCCCCUGCUGGAAAACUAUUGGAAUUUCCCUUUGGCUGUACUGUCACUUUUUCCUCGAGGCCUGGAUGGGCGCUGGCCUCACAACCCAGACUGAAGCAGGACCAGCCCAUGGAAAAUGAGGACUAAAGGCUGACCUGUGGGACAGAUAAACACUUAAGAGGUGUGUCAGUCAUGCAAGAAGCUCACAUGGAAAAUGUUUGUUGUAUAUUUCAAGUACUGUAGUUACUUGGAUUUCAUUUGAUAUGGAUUGGGUUCAGUUUGAAUGGAAUAAAGUAGAUCAAGAGUGUACAAGAUAAAGAAAAAGAAAAUUGUAUUCAAAAUAUUCAAAGAUCAAAUUAUCUGACAUUUAUUGACAGCGUUGGGGGUAAUGCAUUACAAGUAAUUCUAGUUAUGUAAUCAAUUACUUUUUUUCAAGUAACUAGUAAUGCAUUACUUUUACAUUUACAAUGAAAUAUAUGAGUUACUUUUUCAAAUAAGUAACGCAACUUGCUUUGUUUUCCCACUUAUUCUUUCCUGUCUCUGUGUUGAGAGAAAUCGUGAGUGAGGUGCAGAGGCAUUUCCUUCGGCCUGAGGAUUAUUAAGGUCACUUUUGGUGUGAAAGACAAACAAACAAACAAACAAACAAACAAACAAACAAACAAACAAACAAAAACCCAGUUCAGGUGACAAAAGGUAACACAAGCAUAGUGCAAUGCAUUACUUUUAAAAGUAAAUUUUCCCAACACUGACCCCUAAUAUAUAAUAGAAAAAUAUAUAUUAUCAAAACAUAAAAAAGUUGCUUUCACAGAUUUGCUGCACUGAGCAAGAGAAGGCUGUUUGGUGUGAAAUAUAUUUUCAUGAAUUGUUACGCUACAUUGUGCUUCAUACAUCGUAAUUUAACACAAAUGUAAUCAAGACGUUUAAUCAGCUGAACAAUCAGUAUGUUGUUAAACAACAGUACAAUCCAUUGAACGUGCUGUUUUUCUAUACCUCAGCUUUGUUUUCAUUCCUGUCAAAAAUUAUAUAGUCCUACCCUGACUAAGGUCUAUUGGCAAAAGGCAAUGAACCUUUUUUACUCUACAAAGCUUUACUGAAAUUUCACUUAUGUGACUGCAUCUUUAGGGUUGCAUUUGGAGCAGUGCCUAUCAUGCCAUUUUGAUUGAGGCAGUAAUGCUUUGUCAGGCCACUGAAAGAAACAGGUUGCAUUUCCAUUUGGUGCCACUAGAGUCGCCAGAAAUUACCUUUUAAAAUCUAUUUUUGACCUUUUAAUGAACAUUAUGGACAGAGAGUGCAGGAAAUGACACCACAGAAGAAGCAGUAUUGUGAUAAACUGAAAAUGGGAAAUGUUGUUGCCCACAGGUUGCUAUUUCAUAGAUUUCUCACUCAUGUUUUAUUUAACAAUCUACUUUAUCACAGAUAUUUUUCUAAAGAUUCCAUUUGGGGAAAUAAAAGAAUAGAGCUAUAAAAUCAGUGUGGAAAGAAACUCAGAUCAUUUGGUUGUGGACAAAUCUGAAGAGGAAUUUCGGUCACAGUCUUGUCUGAGACUUUGUUAAGAUCUCAUUUGAAACGCUAGAGAAGACACAGAUGAGACUGACUUUUCAUUCAUUCAUUCAUUCAUUCAUUCAUUCAUUCAUUCAGGAAAAACCAAGCAUUUUCUGUUUCCUAUUGACAUCAAUAGUAUUUUAUUCCAGACUAUGGAAGUCAAUGGGGACCAACAACUGCUUGCUUACCAGCAUUCUUCAAAAUAUCCCAUCUCAGAAAAAAGAAACUCAUGCAGGUCUGGAACAACUUGAGGGUUAGUAAAUGAUGACAAAAUUUUCAUUUUUGGGUGAACUAUUGCUUUAAUUUGAACAAAGCAGUUUUAAAUGAAACUGAUACUUCACGCUCUGCUGCGAUUGAUUUAAUUUGAUGUUUUGGACUCACUUAAGACUGAUGCCCCUCACACAUGACUGGUAACGUGUUUGACAGUUGAGACGUCUAUCCAUCUUUCUCCGUACCUUUCCGAUUCAUCCAUCUUUCUGCUCUCCUUACCCAUGCAUCCAUCUUCCUGGUAUCAUUCCUCAUCCGUCCAUCUUCUCGCUGACGCUGUCAGAAGAGGCAGUGAGAAGGUUUUCAUGGCUUAUCCACAAUGUUGCUGGUACUGACAUCUUUAAGCUUGUCCGAACUUAUACCACAGCUCACAUCCCAUCAAUCAGAGAGAGGAAGAGAGAAAGUGAGGGAUGGGAAUAAAGAUAAAGAGUAAAACAGAAGAGUGCUCAUAGAGUUGGGGGUAGCGACACUAGUAACUACAUUUUUCAGUAGCAUUACAGUAGCUCAGCUGCUUUCAAAAUAGUGUAGCUUUUAACAACCUUUGUAGCAAUCAAAGUCACAGUUUUUAAAGUCACAAUUUAUUUGUGCUUGUAGCUCUUUCUCAUAUUUCUAGUUGGAAAGUCUGAUUUAUUCUAGUGACCCAGUUGUUGAAAACUGUCAUUUUUAAUAGGCUUAUGUAGGUUUGGAAAGUAUCAUCACAGUAGCCUUACAGCAAAUGUGGAUGG
ensembl:lncRNA